GACGAACGCUGGCGGCGUGCUUAACACAUGCAAGUCGAACGAAGUGGCGCACGGGUGAGUAACGCGUAAUCAACCUGCCCUUCAGUGGGAGACAACAGUUGGAAACGACUGCUAAUACCGCAUACUGAAGGAGGGGAUUGAGUCUGAUUAGCUAGUUGGAGUGGUAACGGCCCACCAAGGCGAUGCUCAGUAGCCUGUCUGAGAUGAUGAACGGGCACACUGGGACUGGGAAACGGCCCAGACUCCUACGGGAGGCAGCAGUUGGGAAGCUUCCGCAAUGGACGAAAGUCUGACGGAGCAACGCCGCGUGAGUGAUGACGGCCUUCGGGUUGUAAAGCUCUGUUAAUCGGGACGCGGUACCGGAAUAGAAAGCCACGGCUAACUACGUGCCAGCAGCCGCGGUAAUAC
rnacentral:rRNA from 1 species